GAAAAUUUAACCAAUGUGGCAAUUUUAAGAGGCGAGCAUAACUUCUCAAGGACCUUCUGCAAAGGCGUCCAGUCGCUUGAAAAGGAAAAAAAACCAACCCCAAAACAACAACGUAUGCCGGCAGUCCAUUCCUUGGGAGCAUUCAAAUGAGGUGGGGGCAGAGGCUUGGGCAUCACUGAACUUCAGGGGCCCGCAGAGAGGAUGAAUCUGAAUGGUGCUGUGUGGAAAGAUCAGCACCGAAGAGUCUGUAGUCCUUUCCAGUCAGGACAUGGAUGCUGCUUGUGAAUUUAAAACCAAAGACAAUCAAGAUCUUGGAGAGAAAGAGAAGCUGUUUUUGCAGCACGGGAGUUUAGUUCUCUCCAGCAGUUACACAUUCUCUGGAUAAAUAAAUAAUCACACUAUUUCUGCUGUCAAAGCUGAAAGCAUGCACAGCUGUUUGCCACACGAUACGCCGGGACUACAAGGUAUAACGUUUCUUAAUUAGACUGACCUGGGUUUGCGAAGCAGCAUCAUUAG
rnacentral:lncRNA from 1 species